rnacentral:rRNA from 1 species
CCUACGGGAGGCAGCAGUGAGGAAUAUUGGUCAAUGGGCGCGAGCCUGAACCAGCCAAGUCGCGUGAGGGAAGAGGGUCCUAUGGAUUGUAAACCUCUUUUGUCGGGGAGCAAGGCCCGCCACGUGUGGCGGGAAGGAGAGUACCCGAAGAAAAAGCAUCGGUUAACCCCUUGCAAGCAGCCGCGGUAAUACGGAGGAUGCGAGCGUUUUCCGGAUUUAUUGGGUUUAAAGGGUGGGGAGGCGGAAGGUUAAGUCAGCGGUAAAAUGUCGGUGCUCAACACCGGCCUGCCGUUGAAACUGGUCUUCUUGAGUGAGCGAGAAGUAUGCGGAAUGCGUGGUGUAGCGGUGAAAUGCAUAGAUAUCACGCAGAACUCCGAUUGCGAAGGCAGCAUACCGGCGCUCAACUGACGCUGAGGCACGAAAGCGUGGGGAUCGAACAGGAUUAGAUACCCCUGUAGUC